rnacentral:misc_RNA from 1 species
UCUUGUAUAAAGCUUGAGAUUGUAGUGAGUUCGUCGAUCAGUCAGUAAUACAAGAAAUUCAUUUUCUACAUUCUCUCUCUCUCAUUUCCUUGUCCUCCUCCUCCUUUUCCCCUUUCUUCAAUUUCCUUCCCCCCUUUCCUCUGUUUCUGUUUGGUUAUGGCCUAGUCGCAACAUUUGGUAUCGGAGCAAUCUGAUCCUGAGGUUUUGGGUGAUCCUACUAUCGCGACAAUUUACAAACUGGUGAGAAAGAACAAGCAAGCUAUGGUUGUUGAGAACCCAAGAUUACAUAAUCUACAAGAGCAUAUGCAGUCGCUGAAUAAAAAGAUUCAAGAACUGAGUUUGAGGCUGUGCAAGGUUGAACAAACGAUGAGUCAGAUGAUGGAGAUGGUGAUGCAGAUGAUGAAGGCCUCGCAAGGAAAAGGUAAAGACCCAUGAUUCCUGAAACUCAGUUCGAUAUGUAUGAAAUUAGGGUUAAUUCUAAUGAUAUAAGGGCUAACAAUCAUGAAUCAAGGGGUAUUUUGCUCUGCCUAAAGGAAGUGAAAAUGGGGAUUCUAGUAAUAACUCUCAAGGGCAAAGAGAGUUUCGGUAAUUCUGGGAUGAAACUGAAAGUGGAUUGGCCUCAAUUUGAUGGUAGUAACCCUAGUGGUUGGGUUUUUCGAAACAUAGAGGGCGUUAUUGUUGAGAAUGUUUCAGUUAAAGGAGAAAAUGGGAAAGUUUAUGAAGAAAAAAACUGUGAAAAAAUGGACUGGAAUCUUGGUGGUAGUUUAUUGGAGUGGAGAACUGCAGUCACAUAAUGCUUAAGGAGAAUGCGUUUGAAAUUAGGAGAAGACACAAAAAGAAAAUGUGUUCCUUGUCAAUGGAGAAGUCAGGCAUUGAAACAGUUUGUGAAAAUGCCAAAGUGAAUCGCUAAGGUUUUAUGUUUCUUGAUAAGAAGAAUUCU